UCCAGGGUAGCCGAGUGGUCAAGGCACCUGCCCGGUAAGCAGAAGGGUGUGGGUUCGAUUCCCGUCCCUGGAC
rnacentral:tRNA from 1 species